GAUUCUGGCUCAGGAUGAACGCUAGCGGCAGGCUUAACACAUGCAAGUCGAGGGGCAUCGGGAGUAGCAAUACUUGCCGGCGACCGGCGCAAGGGUGCGUAACGCGUGAGCAACAUGCCCGUAUCAGGGGGAUAAUCCAUGGAAACGUGGUCUAAUACCCCAUAGUAAUUAUGUAAGGCAUCUUAUAUAAUUUAAAGCUUUGGUGGAUACGGAUUGGCUCGCGUGACAUUAGCUAGAUGGUAAGGUAACGGCUUACCAUGGCUACGAUGUCUAGGGGUUCUGAGAGGAAGGCCCCCCACACUGGAACUGAGACACGGUCCAGACUCCUACGGGAGGCAGCAGUGAGGAAUAUUGGACAAUGGAUGGAAAUCUGAUCCAGCCAUGCCGCGUGCAGGAAGACGGCCCUAUGGGUUGUAAACUGCUUUUGUAUGGGAGCAAUAAGGGCUACGCGUAGUCCGAUGAGAGUACCAUACGAAUAAGCACCGGCUAACUCCGUGCCAGCAGCGGC
rnacentral:rRNA from 1 species